rnacentral:rRNA from 1 species
UGAACGCUGGCGGCGUGCCUAAUACAUGCAAGUCGAGCGAACAGACGAGGAGCUUGCUCCUCUGACGUUAGCGGCGGACGGGUGAGUAACACGUGGAUAACCUACCUAUAAGACUGGGAUAACUUCGGGAAGCCGGAGCUAAUACCGGAUAAUAUAUUGAACCGCAUGGUUCAAUAGUGAAAGACGGUUUUGCUGUCACUUAUAGAUGGAUCCGCGCCGCAUUAGCUAGUUGGUAAGGUAACGGCUUACCAAGGCAACGAUGCGUAGCCGACCUGAGAGGGUGAUCGGCCACACUGGAACUGAGACACGGUCCAGACUCCUACGGGAGGCAGCAGUAGGGUAUCUUCCGCAAUGGGCGAAAGCCUGACGGAGCAACGCCGCGUGAGUGAUGAAGGUCUUCGGAUCGUAAAACUCUGUUAUUAGGGAAGAACAAAUGUGUAAGUAACUAUGCACGUCUUGACGGUACCUAAUCAGAAAGCCACGGCUAACUACGUG